rnacentral:rRNA from 1 species
AUUGAACGCUGGCGGCAGGCCUAACACAUGCAAGUCGAGCGGAUGGGUGGAGCUUGCUCCAUGAUUCAGCGGCGGACGGGUGAGUAAUGCCUAGGAAUCUGCCUGGUAGUGGGGACAACGUUUCGAAAGGAACGCUAAUACCGCAUACGUCAUACGGGAGAAAGUGCGGGACCUUCAGGCCACAUGCUGUCGGAUGCGCCUACGUGGGAUUAGCUAGUUGGUGAGGUAAUGGCUCACCAAGGCGACGAUCCCUAGCCGGUUUGAGAGGAUGAUCAGCCACACUGGAACUGAGACACGGUCCAGACUCCUACGGGAGGCAGCAGUGGGGAAUAUUGGACAAUGGGCGAAAGCCUGAUCCAGCCAUGCCGCGUGUGUGAAGAAGGCCUUCGGGUUGUAAAGCACUUUCAGUAGGGAGGAAGAGUUGAGUGUUAAUAGUACUCAGCUUUGACGUUACCUACAGAAGAAGCACCGGCUAACUCUGUGCCAGCAGCCGCCGUAAGAC